rnacentral:rRNA from 1 species
GAUGAACGCUGGCGGCGUGCCUAAUACAUGCAAGUCGAGCGAACGGACGAGAAGCUUGCUUCUCUGAUGUUAGCGGCGGACGGGUGAGUAACACGUGGAUAACCUACCUAUAAGACUGGGAUAACUUCGGGAAACCGGAGCUAAUACCGGAUGAUAUUUUGAACCGCAUGGUUCAAAAGUGAAAGACGGUCUUGCUGUCACUUAUAGAUGGAUCCGCGCGGCAUUAGCUAGUUGGUAAGGUAACGGCUUACCAAGGCAACGAUGCAUAGCCGACCUGAGAGGGUGAUCGGCCACACUGGAACUGAAACACGGACCAGACUCCUACGGGAGGCAGCAGUAGGGAAUGUUCCGCAAUGGGCGAAAGCCUGACGGAGCAACGCCGCGUGAGUGAUGAAGGUCUUCGGAUCGUAAAACUCUGUUAUGAGGGAAGAACAUAUGUGUAAGUAACUGUGCACAUCUUGACGGUACCUAAACAGAAAGCCACGGCUAACUACGUG